UGAGGAGCCUUUGUUCCCACUUGUGCUGGU
rnacentral:piRNA from 1 species